GGACGGACGCUCUGCUGACUUUCCACCACUUCGGCGGGCACAGAAAACGGAGGAACUGUGCUGCUGGCUCUACUACUCGUUGGCUGUGAGGCUUCAUUGUGUAUCUGGAGUUUGAACAGACAAGUCAUUUCACGGGACACAAUUUCUGUGUGCGGUACAAAUUUGGUGUGUGAAUUUUCUACAGUGCGUUUUAUUCUCACGAGAGAAAGAGGGAGAAAGAAGGGAUUCAACGGUGUUUUUCUUCUUUUUCUUGUUGAUCAGCAGGGUGGAAAUUUUGUGUGGUUCUUCUUAUUCUUAUAUAUGUGAUCCCACGGAUUUUUCCAUCAGUCCAAAAGAGCGCGAGUGGUUGAGAAUAAAUUGUGUGUUUGAUGUGGUGCUCAAUUGUAGGUGUUACAAUUGUAUUGCUCUAUUCUUUCAAUGUUCAUUGAACCACAGAGACGUUGAGAAUUGUAAUUAAAAAAAAAGUGGGGGAAGAAGUAAUAUUUUUAAAAGGUGUGAACAACUUUUUUUUUGCCUCUCUUCCCUAAAAAGCGAAACAUUUCUAUACAUAUUUUUUUUCUAAACCAUCAGUUGCAACACUUUUCUACGGACAAUUUUGUGGAGUUUAUAUAGUUUUUGAAAAAUAAUAAAGAGUGCCUCAUUCGUUCUUACGAAACGCCGAACACUGAGAGAGAAUUUGUGGUGUGAAGAAGAAGAGAGCUCUGAAUGUGAAGAAAAAAGCUCUUGGAGGAUUAAUUGCUUUGCUGACCGACAAAAGUUUUGCUAUAUAUAUUGUGUUGACGACAGAAACAGUGACGAGAGAUGGGGAAAGCACAGAGUAAGCGAUCUAUGGACAUUACGACAGAGCAGUCAAAAGAUGCCAUCCAGGAAGGAAGUGGAAAAGUGGGCAAAAUCGAAGAGGUCGAUCAGCCACUUAAACUGAAUGGAGACACAAAUCACGAGACUGUGG